rnacentral:lncRNA from 10 species
GACUUUGGGGAAUUUCAAUGUUUUGCUUUUCAUCUUCCUGAGAGUCCAGAAGCCUCCCCGUCAGAAGUGUGUUAACAGCAGUUCAGCCCAUUUCAGGGUGAAGGACAGUUUGUCAUCUAACUGUUUUAACCCUCUUAGGGAGAAAGUACAUAGACUGAAAAGAAUUUGACUGAACGAAGACUCGAUCACACGCUGUGUACCCGCCCUGUGGCUUGAAUUUCUCAUUCAUUUGGUAGCUUAGAGUCCCAGGAUUAAGAUAUGGUGAUGCAUGGAGGGAGAACCCCACUCUGGGAAGAGAAGAGCAACAGCAUCUCCUGUCUCCCUCAGUCCAGGCUUUGUGCCAGAUUAUCUCACGGAUCCUCACAAGUACACAGCCUAGGUGACUUAAAAGAAGAAGAGAUUAAGACACAGACAGAUACAGAGGAAAGAUUACAUGAAGACUCAGGAAAAUGACGCCAUCUACAAGCGAAGGAGAGAGGCCUCAGGAUAAAUCAACCCUACAGACACCUUAAUCUCAGAUUUCUAGCCUCUAGACUUGUAAGAAAAUAAAUUUCUGUUGUUUAAGUG